rnacentral:pre_miRNA from 1 species
UUAGUACUCCCUCCGUCCGGAAAUACUUGUCAUCAAAAUGAAUAAAAGGGGAUGUAUCUAGAUGUAUUUUAGUUCUAGAUACAUCCCUUUUUGUCCAUUUUGAUGACAAGUAUUUUCGGACGGAGGGAGUAGUAG